rnacentral:rRNA from 1 species
UGGGGAAUCUUGGACAAUGGGGGCAACCCUGAUCCAGCGAUGCCGCGUGAGCGAAGAAGGCCUUAGGGUUGUAAAGCUCUUUCGCCCGCGACGAUGAUGACGGUAGCGGGAGAAGAAGCCCCGGCUAACUCCGUGCCAGCAGCCGCGGUAAUACGGAGGGGGCUAGCGUUGUCCGGAAUUACUGGGCGUAAAGCGCGCGUAGGCGGUCCACCAAGUCGGGGGUGAAAGCCCGGGGCUCAACCCCGGAAUGUCCUCCGAGACUGUUGGACUGGAGUUCAGGAGAGGAGAGCGGAAUUCCCAGUGUAGAGGUGAAAUUCGUAGAUAUUGGGAAGAACACCGGUGGCGAAGGCGGCUCUCUGGCCCGCAACUGACGCUGAGGCGCGAAAGCGUGGGGAGCAAACA